AUUCAGCUGACGAGUCUCAAAUAGGACGAAACUCGCGUUCUGGAU
rfam:Schistosoma haematobium scaffold519_23, whole genome shotgun sequence.